GACGAACCGUGCAAACGUUAUUCGGAAUCACUGGGCUUAAAGGGCGCGUAGGCGGGCAACCAAGUCCGAGGUGAAAUCCUCCAGCUUAACUGGAGAAGUGCCCCGGAUACUGGUGGCCUCGAGGAGGGUAGGGGCAUCUGGAACUAGCGGUGGAGCGGUGAAAUGCGUAGAUAUCAUUUGGAACGCCAAUGGUGAAAACAGGUAGCUGGGGCUGUGCUGACACUGAGACACGAAAGCCAGGGGAGCAAACGGG
rnacentral:rRNA from 1 species